GCAAUAUAUAAAUUGACACCAAAGUUAGUCGGACUUAUCUUCGACUGUUUGUCUAAAACACUACCUACUGCUUUCUACGCUUCGAAACGCAAUCAAUUGUUCAAAAAUUAAAAAAUGUCAAAACUCAUUGUGUUGAUUGUUUUGAUUGCUGUUCUGGCAAAUAUAUUGAUUUCUUCAUCUGUCAUGGGCUGUCAAG